AUGUUCGUGAAGCCGGAGACGAAGACGCCCAGUGGGCUGACGGCGUGGCCGGCCCUGACCAGCGUUUACAAGAGCGAGAUUUUCAAGCCCGCCUUAGAGCGCCACUACACGAGCCCGAGGGCGGCCGUGCUCUGCGCGGACGCGUUCCAGAGCAUGUACGCGCAGAUGGUGUGCGGCCUGUGCCAGCGCCACGACGUGCUCCGCAUCGGCGCCGUGUUCGCCGCCAGCCUCCUGCGCGCCAUCCGCUUCCUCCACCUCAACUGGGAGCAGCUCGCCGCUGACAUCGAGGCCGGCGCGCUCAGUCCGCGCGUCACCGACACGUUGGUGCGCGAGGCCGUCGCGGGCGUCGUCCGCGGGUCGGACCCCGAGCUCGCCCGGCUCAUUCGGCAAGAGUGCUGCAAGGGUGACUUGGCUGGCAUCGUCACGCGGAUCUGGCCGAACACGAGGUACCUCGACGUCGUCGUCACCGGUGCCAUGGCUCAGUACGUCCCGGCCCUAGAACACUACGGCGGCGGCCUGCCCAUGGUGUCCACCUCGUACGCGUCCUCGGAGUGCUACUUCGGCAUCAACCUCCGCCCGCUGUGCGACCCGUCUGAGGUGUCCUACACCAUCAUGCCCAACGUGGCCUACUUCGAGUUCCUCCCCGUGAACAAGACCACCGGCGAGGAGGACGCGAGCCAGCUCGUGGACCUCGCCUGCGUGGAGGCCGGGCGGGAGUACGAGGUGGUGGUCACCACCUAUACCGGGCUGAACUGGUACCGCGUGGGCGACGUGCUCCGCGUGUCCGGCUUCCACAACGCCGCGCCGCAGUUCCAGUUCGUGCGCCGCCAAGACGCCGUGCUCUCCAUCGAGACGGACAAAACAGACGAGGCCGAGCUGCCGAAAAUAUAA
rnacentral:rRNA from 1 species